rnacentral:rRNA from 1 species
UACGAAGGGGGGCUAGCGUUGCUCGGAAUCACUGGGCGUAAAGCGCACGUAGGCGGAUUGCUAAGUCAGGGGUGAAAUCCUGGAGCUCAACUCCAGAACUGCCUUUGAUACUGGCGACCUUGAGUCCGGGAGAGGUGAGUGGAACUGCGAGUGUAGAGGUGAAAUUCGUAGAUAUUCGCAAGAACGCCAGUGGCGAAGGCGGCCUCACUGGCCCGGUACUGACGCUGAGGUGCGAAAGCGUGGGGAGCAACAGG